ACGUAGGUGGCAAGCGUUGUCCGGAUUUAUUGGGCGUAAAGCGAGCGCAGGCGGUUCUUUAAGUCUGAUGUGAAAGCCCCCGGCUCAACCGGGGAAGGCCAUUGGAAACUGGAGAACUUGAGUGCAGAAGAGGAGAGUGGAAUUCCACGUGUAGCGGUGAAAUGCGUAGAUAUGUGGAGGGACACCAGUGGCGAAGGCGACUCUCUGGUCUGUAACUGACGCUGAGGCUCGAAAGCGUGGGGAGCAAACAGG
rnacentral:rRNA from 1 species